UACGUAGGGUGCAAGCGUUAAUCGGAAUUACUGGGCGUAAAGCGUACGCAGGCGGCUAUGUAAGACAGAUGUGAAAUCCCCGGGCUCAACCUGGGAACUGCAUUUGUGACUGCAUCGCUGGAGUGCGGCAGAGGAGGAUGGAAUUCCGCGUGUAGCAGUGAAAUGCGUAGAUAUGCGGAGGAACACCGAUGGCGAAGGCAAUCCCCUGGGCCUGCACUGACGCUCAUGCACGAAAGCGUGGGGAGCAAACAGG
rnacentral:rRNA from 1 species